rnacentral:rRNA from 1 species
AGAGUUUGAUCCUGGCUCAGGAUGAACGCUGGCGGCGUGCUUAACACAUGCAAGUCGAACGAGGUCCAACCUUCGGGUGAAGACCGAGUGGCGAACGGGUGAGUAACACGUGGGGAACCUGCCCUUCUCUCUGGGAUAACGUCGAGAAAUCGGUGCUAAUACCGGAUACUCCUUGCGGAUCGCAUGGUCUGCUCGGGAAAGCUCCGGCGGAGAGGGAUGGCCCCGCGGCCCAUUAGCUAGUUGGUGAGGUAAUGGCCCACCAAGGCGACGAUGGGUAGCCGAGCUGAGAGGCUGAUCGGCCACACUGGGACUGAGACACGGCCCAGACUCCUACGGGAGGCAGCAGUGGGGAAUUUUGCACAAUGGGCGAAAGCCUGAUGCAGCAACGCCGCGUGCGGGAUGAAGGCCCUCGGGUUGUAAACCGCUUUCAGCAGGGACGAAUAUGACGGUACCUGCAGAAGAAGCCCCGGCUAACUACGUGCCAGCAGCCGCGGUAAUACGUAGGGGGCAAGCGUUAUCCGGAUUCAUUGGGCGUAAAGCGCGCGUAGGCGGCUUGUUAAGUCAGAUGUGAAAACCGGGGGCUCAACCCGCGGCCUGCAUCUGAAACUGGCAGGCUUGAGUCUGGUAGAGGAAAGUGGAAUUCCUGGUGUAGCGGUGAAAUGCGCAGAUAUCAGGAGGAACACCAGUGGCGAAGGCGGCUUUCUGGGCCACGACUGACGCU